CAGUCGUAACAAGGUUUCCGUAGGUGAACCUGCGGAAGGAUCAUUAUCGAAAGCGCGAAGUGUUGGUUGUGCUGGCUCUCGCAAGUGCACGCCCCUUCAACCUCUCUCAACCCACUGUGCACCCUUUGUGGAUCCUGGAUACCCGUCGAAGCCUUCACCGGCUUCGGAUGGGAGGGUUGCGCCUAACACGCGCUCUCCUCCGGUUUCCAGGUCCACGUCUUCACACACUUUAAAAUGAAAGCGACAGAAUGUAAACCGAGCCCGAGAGGGUUUCUUAAAAAAUCAUACAA
rnacentral:misc_RNA from 1 species